CAAACAAGUGAUUUCACCAAAUGAUCCUGAAUCAGAAGUAGGUAUCCAAGACAGGUGGUUCAACACUAAAUUGCCGGAGUUUUUACUGAUGCCAUCUACUGUGGGUGGAGCAUCAUGCCAAAAUUUGAUGAUGCUUUUGAGGAAUCGCCUUAAAAAAAAUACAACGAUGGUUAUUUAUUUACCAAGGUCGAACCACCGAAUUGCCUCGUUACGACAGCAGACGUUGACAGGCUGUCUGAGAGACAAGACAAGAUGCCUUUGAGGACAUUUGGAGUGCGGCUAAUUAAUUGUAAUAAGCUUUGGCCGCCGCAUGCGCUGGCAAGGAGGUGUGAGGCUCGGAGCUCGGGCUUCCACCCACAACCCCCCCCCUCCCUACCCCUUGCGCCGAAGCCUCGACGACAGCGUGCAAUCCAGCGGGUUGACGCGCUCUGGCACUGGACGGUGGGCACAUCUGCUCUGAUUAAUCACCUGCUUCGCCUCGCGCAUACAUUUCAUUAUCGGCUUUAAGUGGGCGAAAACAACGAGGCUUUGAGGCGAACGAGCUGUGACGAGAGGGAAGAUGAAAGGUGGCAGAAAUGAGAGUCAUUUAUCAGUCUACUGUCAAUGGGGCCAAGUGAGGCACUGACCCUGAUCCAACCCCGAGAUUCACUCUUGGUGGGUUGAACAUCUUCUGAGCUGGUUGCGAGUGAGGCGUUGCAACUCUGACUUUGCCUUCCCUCUGCAAAGUUAAGUACAGCAAAUCAUAGCACAGCAACCAAACAGACAGCUGACAUCUGACCUGCCUGCGAGCUGACUCCGGGCUUCUAUCUGUGUCCCUCCAGACGUGACCGGGCCAUGCCCAGCCUGGUCGGGCAUGGAGCUGAGAGAGUGCCAGCCAAUGUCAUGCCAAGGCAGCGCUCCAGCAUUCCCGACUAGGCAUCAUUUUACAAACGGAAUGCUCUUCCAAACGAAUGCCGACUGGGCAGAUGGAUGAGCUGCCAAAAAGCUGCUCAAUCAA